rnacentral:rRNA from 1 species
GUGGUUAAAGAUGGGCAUGCGUUGUAUUAGCUAGUUGGUGAGGUAACGGCUCACCAAGGCAACGAUACAUAGGGGGACUGAGAGGUUAACCCCCCACAUUGGUACUGAGACACGGACCAAACUCCUACGGGAGGCAGCAGUGAGGAAUAUUGGUCAAUGGACGCAAGUCUGAACCAGCCAUGCCGCGUGCAGGAAGACGGCUCUAUGAGUUGUAAACUGCUUUUGUACUAGGGUAAACGCUUCUACGUGUAGGAGCCUGAAAGUAUAGUACGAAUAAGGAUCGGCUAACUCCGUGCCAGCAGCCGCGGUAAUACGGAGGAUCCAAGCGUUAUCCGGAUUUAUUGGGUUUAAAGGGUGCGUAGGCGGUUUGAUAAGUUAGAGGUGAAAUACCGGGGCUCAACUCCGGAACUGCCUCUAAUACUGUUGAACUAGAGAGUAGUUGCGGUAGGCGGAAUGUAUGGUGUAGCGGUGAAAUGCUUAGAGAUCAUACAGAACACCGAUUGCGAAGGCAGCUUACCAAACUAUAUCUGACGUUGAGGCACGAAAGCGUGGGGAGCAAACAGGAUUAGAUACCCUGGUAGUCCACGCAGUAAACGAUGAUAACUCGUUGUCGGCGAUACACAGUCGGUGACU